UUAAUAGACGAGCUCCACCACAUAAACUUAGCUAUGACAAAAAUGAAGUUGAGGCUAACUUGAGGUUUCUAAGGGUGUUUUGAAACAAGACUGAAUUUCUAUUCCUAUUUUCAACUUAUGGCGUCCGCUUUUGAUGAUUGUGCUCUUUAUCAUCAAACCAAAACACCAAUUGGCUUUUGGUAUAGGCGAGAAUUAAACCCUAGAUCUCUUAUUCAACCAUCAAAGACUUUACCAGUUGCGUUAAUUAGAUACACCUUGAUCAUCUAUAGAGAGAUGGAGCUUCAACAUUAUAGACAUGAGCAUCCAUUGGAUAUCAAUAAAGCCAAGGGAAUAGGAUUGCUUUGUUCAAUGGUUGGAGGAGGGGGGAUUUGUACCCCGAAUGUUUCUAUUGGAAACACCAAGAAAUGUCUUUGUUAUGGGUGCUUAGAACCAGUUUUGGGUCCUCGAUCUAGGUGUGUAGAAUGCAAAGGAUGCUAUCAUCAUAAAUCAUGCGCGGAACUACCUUCGAAUUGCAAUAUCCCUAAUGCACAAAAACAUCCUCUUAUUCUCUUUGAAAAAUCGCAUUUUAAGAGGACAAAGGAUAUAGCAAAUGCAAAAUAUGAAGAAAAAAAAAAUUGUUUUGGAUGCACUUAUUGUUGUUCUUAUUACAACUUUAACCUUCAAAAUAAAUGUGCUUCUUUAUCACUCACCAUGGAAGCUGAAGUUCACAACCACCCAUUGAACGUCCUUUGGAAGUUGAUCACGUUCACUUGCAACCUUUGUGGCAAAGAAGGCAACGGUGUGUAGAAUGCAAAGGAUGUUAUCAUCAUAAAUCAUGUGCGGAACUACUUUUAAAUCUUGUGCACAAAACAUCCUCUUAUUCUCUUUGAAAAAUUACAUUUUACAAGGACAAAGGAUAUAGCAAAUGUAAAAUAUGCACACAAAAAAAAAAAAAAAAAUUGUUCUGAAUGCACUUAUCGUUGUCCUUGUUACGACUUUAACCUUCAAAAUAAACGUGUUGCUUUACCACCCACCACGGAAGUUGAAGUUCACAACCACCCAUUGAUCAUCCUUUGGAAGUGGAUCACGUUCGCUUGCAACCUUUGUGGCAAAGAAGGCAAUGGUGUCCCUAAAUACAUGCCUAAUGUGGUUUCUAUAUGCAUAAAAGUUCUACUUUUUUCUCAUGUAGAAUCAAAGUUGUACAUCACAAGCACCCUAUUAAUCUUACCCAUUCUCUUAAGAGCGAUGCUUGAUAGGGAUACAACAAAUUUUAUUACAUAAAAUUGAUGCAUCAUCAAUUAUUGAAAAGUAAUUCAAACAUACAUUUAUUA